UACGGAGGGAGCUAGCGUUAUUCGGAAUUACUGGGCGUAAAGCGCACGUAGGCGGCUUUGUAAGUCAGGGGUGAAAUCCCGGGGCUCAACCUCGGAACUGCCUUUGAUACUGCAAAUCUCGAGUCCGGAAGAGGUGAGUGGAAUUCCUAGUGUAGAGGUGAAAUUCGUAGAUAUUAGGAAGGACACCAGUGGCGAAGGCGGCUCACUGGUCCGGUACUGACGCUGAGGUGCGAAAGCGUGGGGAGCAAACAGG
rnacentral:rRNA from 1 species